rnacentral:rRNA from 1 species
CACUGGACUGAGACACGGUCCAGACUCCUACGGGAGGCAGCAGUGGGGAAUAUUGCACAAUGGGCGCAAGCCUGAUGCAGCCAUGCCGCGUGUGUGAAGAAGGCCUUCGGGUUGUAAAGCACUUUCAGUCGUGAGGAAGGUAGUGUAGUUAAUAGCUGCAUUAUUUGACGUUAGCGACAGAAGAAGCACCGGCUAACUCCGUGCCAGCAGCCGCGGUAAUACGGAGGGUGCGAGCGUUAAUCGGAAUUACUGGGCGUAAAGCGCAUGCAGGUGGUUUGUUAAGUCAGAUGUGAAAGCCCGGGGCUCAACCUCGGAAUUGCAUUUGAAACUGGCAGACUAGAGUACUGUAGAGGGGGGUAGAAUUUCAGGUGUAGCGGUGAAAUGCGUAGAGAUCUGAAGGAAUACCGGUGGCGAAGGCGGCCCCCUGGACAGAUACUGACACUCAGAUGCGAAAGCGUGGGGAGCAAACAGGAUUAGAUACCCUGGUAGUCCACGCCGUAAACGAUGUCUACUUGGAGGUUGUGGCCUUGAGCCGUGGCUUUCGGAGCUAACGCGUUAAGUAGACCGCCUGGGGAGUACGGUCGCAAGAUUAAAACUCAAAUGAAUUGACGGGGGCCCGCACAAGCGGUGGAGCAUGUGGUUUAAUUCGAUGCAACGCGAAGAACCUUACCUACUCUUGACAUCCAGA